GAGAGCACCUUGCACUGACUCAGCCAGGAGCAGAUCCAACUGGAACUCCAGGGCAGAGGGGAAAACAGCAGGGAGGGCGAGAGACGCUCCUCCAGCACUAUUCAGCACUUCCAUUUUUCAUCAGCCAAGCACUCUGCUUUCUCCCCUUGCAGUGAACUCCUGGGUGCCAGUGAAGUCAGAGGGAUCUGUGCCUGUGGGCUCAGUGGGGAACAGGAUUUGGCCUGAAGCUGCAAAACUGCCACCUGAAAUUUUAACAAAGAUUUUUCUCCAGGACUUCAUCAUUUGGAGUCUGGGUUACCUCUGCACCCUUGUUUCCCAGCAGCUGUAGCUUUUCCUGCUGCCAGUUCUCAUAGAAGUUUCUUGUCCUGCCUUACCCUGCUUUGGAUGCCACAGUGUCACCAAAGGCUGGUAAUGACAUGGCUGUGUGUUGGCGCUCUGAGAAGGAGAAAUUAAGACAGGGGAGCGUCCAUAACAAGGUGGCUUUGCCCUUCUGCAGUGCUCCCUGUACUGGAGGUCCUACCUGAUGGGUGUAGGAAGGCACAAGGUGAGCAGUGUUCCACUACUCUCAGUGCAAAGCUAAGUGUUGCCCCACUCCUUCAUCUUUACACAUACAAGCAUCUGUACAACCUCUCUUUACAACACAUCCCAGUGUCAUUUUGCAGGGACUGUGUUUUCUUUCCCACCCCACAUUCAUCAGAUCCUGUGGAAUGCAUGCUGUGGACCUUGUGCUGCUGGUGCAGCUCUACAGCAGUACAGCCCCUUUCCCUUAACUACACUGGCUGCUGUGCCCACCUCUGGACCUGGCACAGUAUUCACAGAGACUCUCAAUCACUUCUGACCCUUCUCAGCACCAUUUCUCUCAUGGCACAGUCACUGGCUCUGCAAGACCAUCACUACAACGCAUUCCCGGCACACGCUCAGGCGCCCAAGGAGCGCAGUUCUCCUGGACUCAUCUCCCUCUUGCAUUUUGCCUUGCUGCCUCAUGUUCUCUUUAUCCAUCAUCCAUUUCUGCACUUUGCCCUUAUUGCCUCAGCUCCUUCAGUCCUCUCCAUCUAUCCUGAUCCUGUGAUGGGUGUAUAAUAACAUUACUGAAGGGUCAGUUUCUUUUUGUAGAGAACCUGUCCACAGUUCAGCUGAAUCAAAUUUAGGCCUGACUGUGAGGACUUGGUGAAAGCCAGGAGAAAAAGACCUGGAGGAAGAACAGGUCAUGAUCAAGAGUCUACUGUCAGUCCUCAGACAUUUCUGUGAGCUUCAAUGGAGGUUAAAUGCCCUGUGCAGAUACACCUUUCUAUAGAUGUUUCUUACAGUAAAAUAUUUUUAAAAUUAAAAAAGAAAAAUAUUGCCCUGAAGAAAAUAACCCUUAAUGUGGCACAAAAUACAAUUCUU